rnacentral:SRP_RNA from 2 species
GCUGAGCGUGGUGGCACUCGCUUGUAGUCUCAGCUACUUGGGAGGCUGAGGCAGGAGAAUCACUUGAGCCUGGGAGGUCAAGGCUGCAGUGAGCCAUGAUGGCACCACUGCACUCUAGCCUAGGUGACAGAGUGAGGCCCUGUCUCAG